AUUGAACGCUGGCGGCAGGCCUAACACAUGCAAGUCGAGCGGAUGAAGGGAGCUUGCUCCUGGAUUCAGCGGCGGACGGGUGAGUAAUGCCUAGGAAUCUGCCUGGUAGUGGGGAUAACGUCCGGAAACGGGCGCUAAUACCGCAUACGUCCUGAGGGAGAAAGUGGGGGAUCUUCGGACCUCACGCUAUCAGAUGAGCCUAGGUCGGAUUAGCUAGUUGGUGGGGUAAAGGCCUACCAAGGCGACGAUCCGUAACUGGUCUGAGAGGAUGAUCAGUCACACUGGAACUGAGACACGGUCCAGACUCCUACGGGGGGCAGCAGUGGGGAAUAUUGGACAAUGGGCGAAAGCCUGAUCCAGCCAUGCCGCGUGUGUGAAGAAGGUCUUCGGAUUGUAAAGCACUUUAAGUUGGGAGGAAGGGCAGUAAGUUAAUACCUUGCUGUUUUGACGUUACCAACAGAAUAAGCACCGGCUAACUUCGUG
rnacentral:rRNA from 1 species